rnacentral:rRNA from 1 species
GACACUGUUCAACGGCCGCGGUAUCCUAACCGUGCGAAGGUAGCGUAAUCACUUGUUCUUUAAAUAAGGACUAGUAUGAAAGGCACCACGAGAGUCAUGCUGUCUCCUUUCUCUAAUCAGUGAAACUAAUCUCCCCGUGAAGAAGCGGGAAUAAAAAUAUAAGACGAGAAGACCCUAUGGAGCUUAAAACAAAUAACACUUGCCCCCCAACUUCUAAUUUCAGAAAAAUUUUCUACCCAGGCAUCAUGAUUAUUAGUUUUCGGUUGGGGUGACCGCGGAGUAAAAAACAACCUCCGCAAUGAAAGACACUCAUCUACUUAAUCAAGGGCCACAACCCCACACAUCAACAAAUUGACACUAAUUGACCCAACAUGUUGAUCAAUGAACCAAGUUACCCUAGGGAUAACAGCGCAAUCCACUUCAAGAGCUCCUAUCGACAAGUGGGUUUACGACCUCGAUGUUGGAUCAGGGUGUCCUAGUGGUGCAGCCGCUACUAAAGGUUCGUUUGUUCAACGAUUAAAACCCUACGUGAUCUGAGUUCAGAC